UGCUCAAUGAUUUUUUAAAUUGCUGUGGUAUUUUGACUAUACAAAGGUAUUGAAAUAAGAUUUUAAUUGAAUGCUAAGAGAAUGGAAUUUCAGAAAAAAACUUUUUUCAAGUUAAAAAUUGAAAUUUUUUUAAUUUGUGCAGAAACAAUUAUUAAUAUUAAGGACAAGAAGACCCUAUGAAUUUAUAAAUUUUAUUUAAUAUGUAACUACUAUUAAAAAAAUUUUGGCUGGGGCGGCGGAAAAAUAUUUAAAACUUUUUUAAAAUAAAAUGACCCAUUAUUAAUGAUUAUAUGUUAAAUACUCUAGGGAUAACAGCGUAAA
rnacentral:rRNA from 1 species